rnacentral:RNase_P_RNA from 1 species
GGGGAGUCCGUCGCGCGCCUUCUCGUAAAGGGCGUGAGGAAAGUCCGGGCAACACAGAGCACCAUACUGUCUAACCGACAGCUAUCGGCAACGGUAGAGACAAUGUGACAGAAAACAACCGCCUUCGCCCUACCGGCGGAGGCAAGGGUGAAAAGGUGAGGCAAGAGCUCACCGGGUGCCACGGCGACAUGGCAUGCCGCACAUCUUAUGGGUUGCAAGGUCAAGUAUACCGGCAUCUAAGGGCUGCUCGUCCAUUGCCGGGGGGUAGACUGCUCAAGGCCCGCGGGCCAGAUAAAUGACGGACGCGGCGUGGUGGCUCGCUCUCGCGACAGUGCCCGCCGUACAUAACCCGGCUUACACCCCGACC